rnacentral:rRNA from 1 species
GAUGAACGCUGGCGGCGUGCCUAAUACAUGCAAGUCGAGCGAACAGACGAGGAGCUUGCUCCUCUGACGUUAGCGGCGGACGGGUGAGUAACACGUGGAUAACCUACCUAUAAGACUGGGAUAACUUCGGGAAACCGGAGCUAAUACCGGAUAAUAUAUUGAACCGCAUGGUACAAUAGUGAAAGACGGUUUUGCUGUCACUUAUAGAUGGAUCCGCGCCGCAUUAGCUAGUUGGUAAGGUAACGGCUUACCAAGGCGACGAUGCGUAGCCGACCUGAGAGGGUGAUCGGCCACACUGGAACUAAGACACGGUCCAGACUCCUACGGGAGGCAGCAGUAGGGAAUCUUCCGCAAUGGGCGAAAGCCUGACGGAGCAACGCCGCGUGAGUGAUGAAGGUCUUCGGAUCGUAAAACUCUGUUAUUAGGGAAGAACAAAUGUGUAAGUAACUAUGCACGUCUUGACGGUACCUAAUCAGAAAGCCACGGCUAACUACGUG